rnacentral:rRNA from 1 species
CCUACGGGGGGCAGCAGUGGGGAAUAUUGCACAAUGAGCGAAAGCCUGAUGCAGCAACGCCGCGUGAGCGAUGAAGGUCUUCGGGUCGUAAAGCUCUGUCCUAAGGGAAGAAUAUUGACGGUACCUUAGGAGAACGCCCCGGCUAAAUCCGUGCCAGCAGCCGCGGUAAUACGUAGGGGGCUAGCGUUAUCCGGAAUUACUGGGCGAAAAGGGUGCGUAGGCGGCCCUUCAAGUCAGAGGUGAAAGGCUACGGCUCAACCGUAGUAAGCCUUUGAAACUGUAGGGCUUGAGUGCAGGAGAGGAGAGUGGAAUUCCCGGUGUAGCGGGGAAAUGCGUAGAUAUUGGGAGGAACACCAGUUGCGAAGGCGGCUCUCUGGACUGUAACUGACGCUGAGGCACGAAAGCGUAGGGAGCGAACAGGAUUAGAUACCCGUGUAGUC